rnacentral:siRNA from 1 species
UUAACAAGGAUACAAUUCUUACGC